rnacentral:rRNA from 1 species
GACGAACGCUGGCGGCGUGCUUAACACAUGCAAGUCGAACGGAAAGGCCCUGCUUUUGUGGGGUGCUCGAGUGGCGAACGGGUGAGUAACACGUGAGUAACCUGCCCUUGACUUUGGGAUAACUUCAGGAAACUGGGGCUAAUACCGGAUAGGAGCUCCUGCUGCAUGGUGGGGGUUGGAAAGUUUCGGCGGUUGGGGAUGGACUCGCGGCUUAUCAGCUUGUUGGUGGGGUAGUGGCUUACCAAGGCUUUGACGGGUAGCCGGCCUGAGAGGGUUGCCGGCCACAUUGGGACUGAGAGACGGCGCAGAAUCCUACGGGAGGCAGCAGGGGGGAAUAUUGCACAAUGGGCGGAAGCCUGAUGCAGCAGCGCCGCGUGCGGGAUGACGGCCUUCGGGUUGUAAACCGCUUUCGCCUGUGACGAAGCGUGAGUGACGGUAAUGGGUAAAGAAGCACCGGCUAACUACGUG